AUGCUGUUGCUGCGGAGAAAAGCCUCAUUACCCAUUCCGCGGGCGGGCAAGGGCGGGGGGGGGGGCGGACACCCACCCCCUCCCCGGGGCGCGCACUCCCGGGCCCCGCCCCGCCGCGCCCCCUCCCCCUCCCCCUCCCCUGCCGCGCGCCCGCCCGCGCCCGCUCCCGCGCCCGCGCACGCGCACCGGCCGCGAGCGAGAACAGAGCGGACACACCUAACCUGCGCGCGCGCGCCCCGCGCCCCGCCCCCACUCGGGCCGAGCCGCGCAGCCCGACCCGGAUCCGCUCCCCCGCCCGAAGCGCCCCUCCCCUCCCUUCCCCUCCCCUCCCCUCUCUCCGCGGCCUCGGCGCCUCCGCCAGCCUUCGGCAAUUUCCGGCGCUCGGCGAGGCCCGAGGCCCCGCCGCCGCCUCCUCCGCCGGACCCGGCUUUCUGUCUGCGGCGCCGGGGCGCAUGCGCAGACGCCAUCUUCCUCCGUCUCCUUCGCCUGCCCCCUCCCCCUCCCCCCUGCCGCCGCCGCCGCCGCCUCCUCCUCCUCUCGCCGGCGGUCGCCCCUCCUCCUCCUCGUCCUCCUCCUCCUCCUGCGCUCGGGCGCUGGUCCCUCCUCUCCCGCUGCCGCGAGAGACUGGGGGACGCGGCGGAGCCGGAGGAGAGCACUAGUAACAACCACCACGGCCCCCUCCCCGCCCGCCCGCCCUCCGCACCCACCCACUCGCCGACACCGGCCAACCCCACCUCCCGUUCCUUUGAACGGCGUCGGCUGCAGUCGCUUGCACCAGCCCGUCUGGCCCCCAGCGCCGCCGAGGAAGGAGCCGCCCGCGAGGACGAGGACGAGGACGGGGACGAGGACGAGGAGCCGAGCGGCUCGCAGCCCGCCGCCGCCCCCCGGGGAGGCCCGGGCGCCGGCCCCUUCCUCCCCGAGGACGCGUGCCGAGCCGAGGCGCCUGCCCCGAGGGAGGAAAAUGCUCGGGCUCCAUGGCUGCCAGUGAUGGAGCGGUCCCUGCGCUCCCGCCGCCGCCGCCGCCGCGCCCCGGCCGUGCUCCGCGAGGACCCGGCGUCCCUGCGCGCCCGCCCGCGCCCCGUUGCUGGGCUCACCGUACCGGGCGCCCCGCCGCCCCGCUCCGAGCCUCGCCGCCCCGGCCCCGGCCGCGGCCAGCGUCUGCUCACGGAACAGCCGCCGCGAGCCCAGGGGGUUUGA
rnacentral:lncRNA from 1 species